GACGAACGCUGGCGGCGUGCUUAACACAUGCAAGUCGAACGAAGUGGCGAACGGGUGAGUAACGCGUAAUCAACCUGCCCUUCAGAGGGGGACAACAGUUGGAAACGACUGCUAAUACCGCAUACUGAAGGAGGGGAUGGCGUCUGAUUAGCUAGUUGGGGGGGAAACGGCCCACCAAGGCGAAGAUCAGUAGCCGGUAUGAGAGGCGGAACGGGCACAAGGGGACUGAGACAAGGCCCAGACUCCUACGGGAGGCAGCAGUGGGGAAUCUUCCGAAAUGGACGAAAGUCUGACGGAGCAAAGCCGCGUGAGUGAUGACGGCCUUCGGGUUGGAAAGCUCUGUUAAUCGGGACGCGGUACCGGAAUAGAAAGCCACGGCUAACUACGUGCCAGCAGCCGCGGUAAUAC
rnacentral:rRNA from 1 species